UGUGUGUUGCAGCAAACCCCCCUCCAAACAGCCCAAAACCCCUCUAAGUCAUCUCCAUGCUCUAGGUCGUUCGAUCACGAUCGUGUGGGCGAAAACCGCACUCCGUUUGGAGUCUCCUAGCUCCCUCUACCUAUAUAUACACCUCCCCCUCCGAAUACAUUCGCAGAUCAAACCCUAGAAACUCCUCCCAUCGCCGCCGAACGUGUCCGUACCGCCGACGGACGAACCCGCCGCCGCCCUCGCCCACUCGCNNNNNNNNNNNNNNNNNNNNNNNNNNNNNNNNNNNNNNNNNNNNNNNNNNNNNNNNNNNNNNNNNNNNNNNNNNNNNNNNNNNNNNNNNNNNNNNNNNNNNNNNNNNNNNNNNNNNNNNNNNNNNNNNNNNNNNNNNNNNNNNNNNNNNNNNNNNNNNNNNNNNNNNNNNNNNNNNNNNNNNNNNNNNNNNNNNNNNNNNNNNNNNNNNNNNNNNNNNNNNNNNNNNNNNNNNNNNNNNNNNNNNNNNNNNNNNNNNNNNNNNNNNNNNNNNNNNNNNNNNNNNNNNNNNNNNNNNNNNNNNNNNNNNNNNNNNNNNNNNNNNNNNNNNNNNNNNNNNNNNNNNNNNNNNNNNNNNNNNNNNNNNNNNNNNNNNNNNNNNNNNNNNNNNNNNNNNNNNNNNNNNNNNNNNNNNNNNNNNNNNNNNNNNNNNNNNNNNNNNNNNNNNNNNNNNNNNNNNNNNNNNNNNNNNNCGCUCUCCGCCGGCGCCGAGCGCCUCCGCCUCCGUCGUCCCGUCACCGCCGGCGCGCCGCCGCCUCCUCCGCCGCCGUUCCCCGGCGCCUCCUCCUUCCUCCCUCGCCGAGCUAGCUCCGGUGAGAGGCAGCAGUUCCGGCGAGCCCGAGUCGGCUGCUCCAGAUGUCGAUCCAGUCAACGCCGAGGUUGACUUCUCCUCCCCGAAAAUCUCUUAAGUCCCGAUAUUUUCUACAUAACAUGCCUCUGUUCAUCGCAUCAUAACUCUCUGCAUAUAGCUCCGUUUCGCGCGUGUAAUAUAUCGAAAUGUUCGCCUCGUGAUGCUCUUCAUUUUGUUCCAUGGCACCAUGUUCAUUUGAGUCCAUCUUGAUGCCCAAAUCUCUGGUGCAAGAGUGCUAGUUGCUGUUAUCUGUUGUUACUUAGCAGAACUUGAGGAUUUGUUAUUUUUGUUGCAUUUAAUCUGUGCAUCUUAUGAGUAUGAGCUCUACAUGUGUUUUGUUGUAUGCCAUGCCAUCUUUCCAGAGGUGUAUGCCAUGUAUUUUUGUGAUCUCUGUGGUGACUAGCAUAAGCAUGCAAACUAGGCUCUGUAAUGUUUCCGGUUUCAGGGACAGUAAUUUCUCUCAAGUCUGUGACUGCUGUUAUUUUGUUGCUAUGUAUCCAUGUCUCUACAGAGAGAUCCAUGCUUAUUUUGGUGAUGUUCAGUAAGGAUGUUUAGUAGAUAUUGUUGUAAUUGAUCCAUUCAUGCCUUUGUUUGUAAUUAUGGAGUGCCAUAGCAUGACUCAUUCUUGCUCUCCUUUUGCUAUAAAAUGUUUCUGGCAGAUUCUUAACAUGAUAUGCAAUUUUGCCAAGCUUGUUCUAGUUGUUUCAUACAUGCUAUGUAUUUGUUCUUGCCACGGAUAGCUUCAUAAACAUGCCAUAUUGCUGUAGGUAUGCUUGUUUUGUUAUGCAUUGCUUUGUGGUGAGUGCAUCAAGCUCACAAAGAUGCCUUCAUAUUAUUGUUUCUGCCAUGCUCUGUUUUCUGCGAAGUCUGAAACCUGUUAACGAAACUUGCUAUGUUUACAUGGUUGCCAUCAUAUCUUCUGAUCCUUUUUGGCUUAUGGUCAGUAAGGGACUUUUGUCAUAUGCAUUUAGUAGAAUACUUCCCUGCCUUCUUUUGCCAUGUUAAGUUCCUGUAGCAUGUUGAUUUCGUGCUCUGAACAUUGCUACCUGAUGCUGUUUCAGGCAUGUCCAGUAAUUUCACCAAGUCUGUGAACCUGAUAUCUUUUGGACUUUUGCCAUUCUUGUUUGAACCUGCUGUGGUGUGAUCUAGCCGUAGCUCAGUGUUCAUCUUUUGUCAAGCAUCUCCUGUAGAUUACUGGCAUAUGCUUUUUUGCUAUUUUGAAGUGUUGUAGCUUAGUUUCUUGAUGUAUUCUAAGUGCUAUCAUGCUGUUAAUCACAGAUUCGUGUCAUUCUUGUUUUGCUUGCCAUUUGCAAACCGUGCAUCCGUUUCCGGUGAUCUUUAUAUCGAUUUCAACCGAAAUCAUCUCAUCUUUCCAGUGGCAUGUUUGGUUUGCCAAGUUAAUUCCUUGUUCAUCAUUUUUCUUCCGGAGCACGCAUAUGCAUCGCAUAUCAUAUAUUGCAUAUCAUACAUGUAUUGCAUCAUGUUGCUUGUGCAUUUCCCGUGAUUGAUUGUGGUUCCGUUGCUUGUGUUCUUGUUUUGGGUAGAGCCGGGAGACGAGUUCGUGAACGAGGAACCUGUUGAGUACGCUUAUGAGGAUCAAGUUUUCGACAACUCUGAGAACCUUGCAGGCAAGAUGACCACACCCUCGAAAUCACUUCUAUCUUUGCUUUGCUAGUUGUUCGUUCUAUUGUCAUGCUGCGCCACCUACCACUUGCUAUAUCAUGCCUCCCAUAUUGCCAUGUCAGCCUCUAACCAUCCUUCCUAGCAAACCGUUGUUUGGCUAAGUUACCGCUUUCGCUCAGCCCUUCUUAUAGCGUUGCUAGUUGCAGGUGAAGAUGAAGUUGGUUCCAUGUUGGAACAUGGAUAUGUUGGGAUAUCACAAUAUCUCUUAUUAUAUUAAUGCAUCUAUAUAUUUGGUAAAGGGUGGAAGGCUCGGCCUUAUGCCUGGUGUUUUGUUCUACUCUUGCCGCCCUAGUUUCCGUCAUACCUGUUGAGGAUAUAGACCUUAGAGUCACCCGCCAGAAGGGGCCGGGUUACUCAUAUGGUCAUUGCCAGAAGCCCGGCGCUAAGCUUAAAGACGGUGGGCCAGAGAUGGGCUUAAGACCCGGAUACGGCUUAAGGCCCGUAGUUGCAAUUAUUAUCAUGGUAGAACUUGUAGUGUAAGGCAAGAAUAGUUGAGAGUCCGAGCCGGAUACUCUUAUGAGCCGGCCGGGACUCUGAGAGCUGCUGGGCGUCAGCCUCCCUAUAUAAAGGGAUGACCCGGCAGCGGUUUAGGGACAAGAAAGAUCUGAUCGAGAGCCAGACAUAGCAGUUUAGCUCCCUGGUCAUCGAAACCCUAAUCAAUACCACCUCAACUGGACGUAGGCGUUUACCUUCACCGUAAGGGGCCGAACCAGUAUAAACCCUCAUGUUCCUUGUCCCGCUUAACCCCUUUAAGCUUCCUAGCUGCGAUGGCUCCACGACUAAGUCCUAGCUCGAGGACAUCUGCCGUGACAAUUCCACGACAGUUGGCGCCCACCGUGGGGCCAGCGCACGGUGGAUUUGAAUUUUUGAAGGGCAGCUUCGAAGGGCUCAAGGGAUACGCUGUGGGCCGGAUGACCAAGAGUCGUCGCGGCAAGCUCUACAUCGACGAUGCAAACUGGGGGCCCGACGCCGGCUCAAUUGAGUACGGGUACCGGGUCCCCUUCGGCGGAAUUCAUGUUUUCAUUGGCAAGAUUGGUGAGCCGGGCCCUGAGCCGGAUCUCUGCACCGAUCUCAUCGAGACGGCUCAGCGCGCACAACCCGCCCGGGCCUGGCCUGCCGUAAGGCAUGCUUUUGUGGGAUGUAUCCAUGGAGGGCCCUCUGAUCGAUCUGGAUCUGGUGAUGAGACGGCUGCCGGCUCUGACGGCGAGUCGUCCACCGAUGAGUCAAACUCGUUGUAUCAACUUCAAGAUGGCAGGCUCAUGGGUUGUUCCGAUGGUGACAGUAUUCCGGACCCGUUUGAGCCGCCAAGUCAGGUUGGGGUCUUUAUGGCCGGUGCACAGCCUGUUCAGAACCCUGCUGCUGGAGCAGGAAACCCGGUGCCCUCGCCGGCUCAGGUGCUAAUGGAUCUCAUGGACAAGAUGACGGCCCUGUUAACCGCCACGAUUGACCCGGCGGAUCAGGCUCAGCAUGAUGCGGAGGUGGCACAGCUAAAAUUGGAUCUAGUGAAAGCAAAGGAAGAUCUGGCGGCAAAAGGGAUCAGGAUGGCUGCGGAGAGGGCGGCUCUCGAUGCUCAAACCCAGUUGAUUCAAGCACAGUCCUUCCGGCUCACUAUGGAUCAAAACGCGUCCAAUGAGGUCCUGAGAAGAAGGCAUCAAAAGGCCCAAUCUCGACUCCCUCCGGUUUACGAUCCACGCAACCUCUUCAACACGCCGGGUGCAGGGUCUAGUAACCGCCAAGGGUCAUAGUGCCCGGAUCCGGGACCCCUAUUCAGCCACAAGUGAUGGGGCCUCCCCAGGUGCCCCUGCCCCGCCUCAGUACGUGCCAAUACCACCGGGUCAUUAUAAUAACCCGCUGGAGAACAUGGUCGCCGCGGCAGCACGGCUGGCAACUCUCCCAGUUGACGGCGACUCUCCGACGGCUAUUGAAACCCGCCAGGUUAGGGCACUCCUUCAGAUAGCACUGGCGCAGCAAGAGGCGUACUCCUACAGCCGGGACAGGAUCCACUCGACCCCUCGCCCAGGCCGGAGCCCGAGUUAUAGCAGACACAUGGUCUCAGCGACCGGCUCAAGUAACGUCCGACGCCAUGACCCGCCCCCUGGCCAUGGCCCGGCUCAUAAUGGAGCCUUUCACGCAGCAGACCAGGACAGAGCGCGACAAGAGGCGGAGCAGGUGCCUCAGUUGACGGCUUACCAGACGCCCCCGGCUUAUCCGACGGCUUCCGUCGACGUGGGUAUCCCUACCAGGACUGGGGGUGUCCCUUGUUUAGUGCCAGCUAUCCGCAAUGAACGUCUACCCAAGGACUUCAAAGGCCCUAGGAAGGUGCCUAAUUACACAGCAGACUUACAACCCGCAGCCUGGAUCGAGAGUUAUGAGAUGGCUAUGGAACUGCUGGAGGUCAGUGAGGCGGCAAUGGCCAAGUACUUCACCAUGAUGUUAGAUGGGACUGCCCGCACUUGGUUGAAAGGGCUACCACCGAAUUCCAUUGGGUCUUGGGCUGAGCUGAAGGCCCGGUUCAUCCAAAACUUCAAGGAUACCUGUAGGCAGUCUAUGUCAAUUGUGGAUCUGACUAACUGCAAGCAGCAGGAGGGUGAGUCUACGACACAUUGGGUUCGCCGGGUUAAGGAGAUAAUACAUUCCUCGGAUAAGAUGGACGCCGGCUCUGCAGUCUUGAUGUUGGAGCAGAAUUGUCGUUUUGUGCCCCUGAAGAUGAAACUCGGGCGGCUCAAGCGCGACUGCAAUGAUAUGGGUAUGGCGGCUCUUGUCAAGUACGCCGAUUCUGAUGGUACCAAGGACCCCGCUUCAGAUGAUGAAAGGACAGGGAAGGGAAAGAAGAACGGCAAUGGCAAGGGUCCUCAGUAUAACCCGGGGAACCAAGGAGGAGGCAAGCGCAAGGCCGAUGGCAGCCUAGAGUUUGUAGCCAACGCCAGCUCACAAGGUAAUAACCAGCGACGCAAGGGGAGGCCCCCUCCCCGAGGCGGCGGGUCAGGCCCGACGCUGGAGCAGCUGUUAAAUGAGCCUUGCCCAAGGCAUGGUUCUAGAGAGAAGCCAGCGACUCAUCUAUGGAAGGAUUGUGCAAUCAUGAAGGCAUUUAAGAAUUACAAUGGCCCGGGCGGCGGCUCAGGCGCCGGCGGCUUUCAUGGCCCGGGCGGCGGCUCAAAUUCUAACCCUCAGAACGGUCAAGGGGGCUUUAAUCAGCAAUCUGGCCAGGGUCAUCAACAGCAGCAGGGAGGUUAUCAGACCAAUCCAAAGCAGCUUAGCGGUGGGCAGUAUCAUGUGUUUACCACCAGUCUGUGUAAGCGAGAUCAGAAGCUUCAUAAGAGGGCUGUGAACGCUGUUGAGCCGGCGGUUCCACGCUACUUACGGUGGUCUGAGCAGCCUAUAGUGUGGAGUAGGGAGGAUCACCCUCCCCGGGUGGAUAAUCCGGGUCACUUGGCCCUGGUGGUGGCUCCUCAGGUGGGAGGAUAUAAGUUCACUAAGGUGCUCAUGGAUGGAGGCAGCAGCAUCAACAUCCUCUAUUAUGAGACAUUUCGUCGUAUGGGAUUGAUUGACAAGAACCUCAGCCAGUCCAACACUAUUUUCCACGGUGUGGUACCUGAUAAGUCGCUUAUCCAGUCGGCAAGAUUGAGUUGGAAGUGGCCUUUGGAGAUGAGAACAACUACAGGGUGGAGAAAUUGACCUUUGAGGUGGUCAAGAUAAGAAGUCCAUACCAUGCUAUAUUUGGACGGCCGGCUUACGCCAAGUUCAUGGCACGGCCGUGUUAUGUGUACUUACAACUCAAGAUGCCGGGUCACAAUGGGACCAUUACGGUUCACGGCAGCCGGAAAGUGGCUCUGGAGUGUGAGGAAGGCGAUGCAGCAUAUGCAGAAUCUGUUUGCGCAACAGAGGAGUUGAAAUUUUACAAAGACAAUGUUGACCCAACUGAUAUGACCUCUCUGAAAAAGCCAACUACGGAGCAUGAGCCGGCAAUGAAAUUUAAAUCGGCCGAUGAGACUAAACUUGUUGAUUUCGUUCCAGGAGAUUCAUCUCAGCAAUUUAGCAUCAGUGCCAAUCUGGAUCCAAAAUAGGAAAGCGCGCUCAUCGAGUUCAUCCAUGAGAAUAGGGACAUCUUCGCAUGGAAACCUUCUGACAUGCCAGGUGUACCUAGAGAACUCGCUGAGCACACUCUCAAUGUUGAUCCGAAAUUUAAGCCGGUCAGGCAGUUCCUUCGGCGGUUCAAUGAGGAGAGGAGGAAAGCUAUUGGUGAAGAGGUGGCCCGGCUCUUGGCGGACGGGUUUAUUGUUGAAGUCUUUCACCCAGAGUGGUUAGCUAACCCGGUGCUCGUGCUCAAGAAGAACGGCACUUGGCGGAUGUGUGUGGACUACACGGACUUAAACAAGGCGUGUCCGGCUGAUCCUUUUGCCCUCCCCCGUAUUGAUCAAAUUAUUGAUGCUACGGCAGGUUGUGCGCGCUUAAGUUUCUUGGAUGCUUAUUCUGGAUAUCAUCAGAUUAAAAUGGCAGUUAAGGACCAGGAGAAGACGGCAUUCAUCACUCCCUUUGGAGCCUUCUGCUAUGUGUCUAUGCCCUUUGGACUCAAGUGUGCACAGGCGAUUUAUCAGUGUUGUGUGCAGAACUGUCUUCAUAAGCAGAUUGGGCGCAAUGUGUCGGAGUAAAUGGCCACGGGUAGCCAUUCCGGCUACCCCUGGCUCUUCAGAAAAAUUAUCAGGCCUUUGGGCCUUCAAGCACUCCAAGCAGUGGGGCCGCCUUCCCUGGCCGGCUACCACUAAAGCCGACUCCCAGAAGGCGACCCAGCCUCACCGACUCCUCCCUAGGACGACUACGGGGUGGCCGACUCCAAGAAGCCGGCCAAGAAGGACGCCGACUCCUAGGAGCCAGCCAAGACCACAACCACUCCUACAUAACGGCGACGUGACGGGGUGUGGCCACAGUGCAGCCCACGACCCCCGAAGCCCGAGGCGGGCAUGCCUACAGGAGGCCGUACGGGAGGGACGUCUCCCGUGCGGCUCGGCACUGUAGCCACGCUAGCCUCGACGUCAUCCACGACCCACUCCUGUACGGCUCGAGGACUGCGGGCCCCUUCAGCCAGAGAGAGGCGUGAAGGCGGCCCGGCUUUUCCUAGUCGGCCAAGAGUAUAGCCGGCCUCCAGAAGCCGGCUACUCCCUUCCUCGAAGCAGGAGCCCCAUUAAGGAGACAAGACGAGGUGAGGCUACAGUGAUAGCCCCCGAGGCGGCCCACUAUAGCCACGCUCACCUCGACAAAGCCCUCAUCAUCAGAGGCGCGGCUACAGUAAGCAGCCGCCGACAAGACCCUAGGCGGUGGGACCGACCUGUCGACCAAGUAGCCGGCAGCCGGCGGGACCCACUAGCCGGCGGGACCCAGCAGCCGGCGGAGAAGCCGGCGAGCGUAGACACUGACGGCUGGGACCAGUUCCCAGUCGGAUUACCAUUGUACCCCCGGGGGGUAGGCCUAUAUAAACCCCCCGGAGCACCCAUGCAAAGGGUUCGCUUCGAGGUUCGCACCCAAGCAUAGCACACACCAUAGAUAGAGAGAAGCAAGAGCUAGCCUUGUUCUUCUUCUCCCUUGAUCUCAACAGCUCUAGGAGCAAUUGUAGCUACCCUUUAUCGAUCUAGUGAUCAUGCGGAGACCCCGCAGAGCAGGACUAGGGGUGUUAUCUCCUCGGAGAGCCCCGAACCUGGGUAAGAUUCGCCGGCGUGCAUGUCUUCGCCUCAUCCCGUUUCCGGGCACCGGCGACGUUUUAUUGGCUCCCACAAUGAUAAGCCAUCCCUUGGCAUAUGUCGCACCAACCACCCGACACAAUGUUCAUGCUUAUGUGGACGAUAUUGUGGUUAAAUCUAUAAAGGAGGAAACCCUGAUAGAUGAUUUGAGAGAAACCUUUGACAAUCUCCGGAUCUACAAGAUGAUGCUUAAGCCGGCCAAGUGUGUUUUUCGUGUUCCUGCAGGCAAACUCUUGGGUUUCUUGGUUUCUGACAGAGGCAUUGAAGCUAACCCGGAGAAGAUCAAGGCCAUCACCUCACUGGUUAAGCCGGCGUGUAUAAAUGAUGUUCAGCGCUUGGCGGGUCGCAUCGCUGCUUUAAGCCGGUUUAUAAGCCGUUUGGGUGAGAAGGCCAUGCCAUUAUAUCAGUUGAUGAAGAAAACUGAUAACUUUGUCUGGAAUGAUGCAGCUAAUACUGCCUUUGAGGAUUUGAAGAAGCAGCUGGCAGAGCCCCCAGUCCUUGCUGCUCCGGUUGAUAAAGAGCCCUUAUUAUUAUAUGCGGCGGCGAACACACGAGCUGUCAGUGUGGCUGUGGUGGUGGAGUGCAAGGAAGAGGGUAAGGAGCAUCCGGUUCAGCGGCCGGUUUAUUAUGUCAGCGAAGUGCUCAUUGAGUCCAAUCAGCGGUAUCCGCAUUGGCAGAAGCUUGUUUAUGGUGUGUUCAUGGCGAGCCGGAAGCUUAAGCAUUAUUUCCAGGGUCAUCCCAUCACUGUGGUCAGUUCUGCCCCUCUUGGUGAUAUCAUUCAAAACAGAGAGGCCACAGGGAGGGUGGCUAAGUGGGCUAUAGAGCUUGGACCUCAUGGUCUCAAGUACGUGCCACGCACUGCUGUUAAAUCUCAGGCCUUGGUGGAUUUCAUCAAUGACUGGACAGAGUCACAAGUGCCCGAGCAGAAGCCGGAUAACACAUAUUGGACUAUUCACUUUGAUGGGUCCAGGCAGUUGGAGGGCUCGGGGGCUGGAGUUGUGUUGGCUUCCCCUAAAGGUGACAAGUUCCAUUAUGUGCUACAGUUGUUGUUUCCUUGCACUAACAACGCGGCUGAGUACGAAGCCUUGCUCCAUGGUCUUCGGAUGGCUAAAGAGAUGAGCUUGAGCCGGGUAAGAUGCUUCGGCGACUCAGACUUGGUGGCUCAACAAGUAUCAGGAAAGUGGGAUUCCAAGGACCCUCUCAUGGCGGCUUAUCGCCGCGAAGUUGAUGCCAUUGCUGGGCACUUUAAGGGUUACCAAGUGGAACACAUCGAUCGCAGGAAGAACGAGGCGGCUGAUGCUUUAAGCCGGCUGGGCUCUCAGCGAAAACCGGUGCCGCCUAACACUUUCCUGGACGUCCUGUAUAGCCCUUCUGUUAAGUUGCCUACAGAGGAAGACUUGGCUGUCCUUGACCCGGAGGCACGACUGGUGGCAGCUCUCCAUAUCAUACCGGACUGGACAAUGCCCUAUCUGGCUUACAUGACCCGGGAAGAAUUGCCUGAGGAUGAAACUUUGGCCAGGCAAAUAACCCGGCGGGCUAAGUCCAUGAUCGUUAUCAAUGGCGAGUUGCAUCACCGCAGUGUUACAGGAGCAUUCCAGCGUUGUGUCUCCCCUGAGGAAGGUCAAGAGAUCUUGCGUGAGAUUCAUGAAGGGGAUUGUGGCCAUCACGCCGGCUCAAAAUCUCUUGUGGCCAAGGCUUUUCGUCAUGGUUUUUAUUGGCUGACGGCUCAUGCUGAUGCGGAAGAUUUGGUCAGUAAAUGUGAUGGUUGCCAAAGGUUCUCACGACGGGCUCAUGUGCCGGCUCAGGAAGCUGAAGAUGAUCCCGAUUACUUGGCCCUUUGCGGUCUGGGGGCUUGAUAUGGUUGGGCCUUUUAAAAGGUCCAAACAUAAGAAGACCCACCUCUUGGUGGCAGUUGACAAAUUUACCAAGUGGGUAGAAGCAGAGCCGGUUAGCAAGUGUGAUGCAGCCACGGCAGUUCAGUUUAUGAAGAAGGUGAUCUUUCGCUUUGGCUUUCCGCACAACAUUAUAACUGACAACGGCACCAAUCUAUCCAAAGGCGCUAUGGAGGAGUUUUGUCAACGAGAGCAUAUCCAACUUGAUGUUUCCUCAGUGGCUCAUCCUCAAUCCAAUGGUCAAGCUGAGAGAGCUAAUCAGGAGAUUCUGAAGGGCAUCAAGCCCCGGCUUUUGGUCCCUUUGCAACGGACGGCGGGUUGUUGGGUGGAGGAAUUGCCCUCCGUGCUAUAGAGCAUUAACACUACUCCUAACAGGUCUACAGGCUUUACGCCUUCCUUCAUGGUUUAUGGAGCAGAAGCAGUCCUCCCCAGUGACAUCCGUCAUGACUCGCCUCGAGUGGCGGCUUACGUUGAGGCGGAUAAUGAACAAGCGCGCCAAGAUGCUCUUGACUUGUUGGACGAACAUCGUGAUGUGGCAGCAGCUCGCUCAGCGAUUUACCAACAAGACCUGCGCCGUUAUCAUAGUCGCCGGGUUAAGUCCCGGGUCUUCUAGGAAGGCGAUCUGGUGCACCGGCUCAUCCAAGAUCAAACAGACGCGCACAAGUUAUCCCCGCCUUGGGAAGGGCCCUUUGUGGUCAGCAAGAAUUUGCACAACGGGUCAUAUUACCUCAUUGACAUUCGGGAGCACAAAGAUUCACGUAAGUCGGAGGAAGAAACCCGUCGGCCGUGGAACAUAGCUCAGCUUCGGCCUUACUACACUUGAGCCACCGGCUCUCAUGAUGUACAUAUUUCUUUAAGUCAUGUAUAUAUUAUGAUAAGCAAUAAAGCAGGACCUCUGUCCUUUUUUCUCCUCCAUAUGUGCACGUGUUGUUUUCAUUGCAAGAUUACAUGAUAAUCUGAAGGAGGAUCCGGCUUAUGAUCGUAUUCGAAUCUAGCCGCAGGCAAUAAGGUCACUUGGGGGCUUCCUGUUCAAACAUGGGUCAUAUUCGAACCAAAGAGAACAUAGCUGUCGAUACCCAUUUGAUUGGCAAAGUGCCGAGCUCAUUGGGGAGUUUUCUUUGAUCAUAUUUGAAUCUUAGUUUAACCCCUUUGAGAACCGACGUGGAUCGUAUUCGAAUCAGCGUCGUUAAACAAUUCUUAAAGUCAUUUGGGGGCUUCCUGUUCAAACAUGGGUCGUAUUCGAACCAAAGAGAACUUAGCUGUCGAUACCCUCUUGAUUAGCAUCGCCACACCCACUGGGGACUAUAUGAUCGUAUUCGAAUCCUAGCAUAACCCCUUUGGGCCGGGUCUCUGGUCGUAUUCGAACCGGAAGCCCCUAAGUUCCUCUGCUUUAUAGCAAGUUCCGUCUGAUUAUUUCCAAGUGUGUACGGCCGGGUCUCACUUUGCCGGCUUAACUUUGGUUUACAGUAUUAGCUGAACACAAUGGGUGUUAUUAAGACAGGUAAACCGGAAUUGCGGUACCAACCUUACUACCUGGGUUAUCUAAGCCGGAAGUAUGCUUGCAGGCCGCUAAGUACAUUAUUACGGCUGUAUUCAGGAUAUCAUUGAAGAUCAGUUCUUUUUGAUUCAUAUUCCGGGUUAUCUAAAACCUAUGAUUCUCAGGGCGGUAAGCCAUCUCGAGGCUUGUGAUUUGUGUUUUUCUGCAGGAUAGUUAAAGGCAACAAUUUUGAGAGUAAGGAAAACAAAUGAUUAAUUAUGACCCGGAGAAACAUAAAGGAGACAACUUCAACAGACUUCAGCAUUCAAGGUGUGCACGAUGGCACGACAAAGAUAAAGUAUUGGUCCUACUCUAUUACAAGACUCAUUGAGUCCAAAAGGGUGAGGCAUUGCUUGAUAAGCCGCCAGCCGAGUUACGACGCUUGCUGAGUGGAAGUCUCCGGCUCGUUCCUCUCUUCUCCUCCGGCUGAUCCCAAGACCUGGAAAUUUGAUGACUUCCAGUCGAUGCCGCUGAGAGCUUCGAAUUGGGCUUCCUCGUCAAUUAACCCGGCCGGGUCAAUCUCCGGGGCGAAGGUGUGCUGACGAGCCGGCGGGAUCAAGUUGAGGGCUUCAUAGCGCGGAGUAGGGAUCCUCUGAUUUUCUGCAUCGUAGCCCGGCUGAUACUUAGUCAGAUCUGUAUCAUUGCCAAUCAGAGUGGCCACCGGGCGUACGGCCUUCACGCAAGCUGCGAAGUCCUUCUGAUCGAAAGCGGAGCCGUCUUCCUUCAGGCUUGGAUAGCCAAGGGCGAUGUCCGCCGGGUCUAACUCUGGCAGGAACGCCUUGGCCCGGCUCAGCGCAGCGAUCGCUCCGGCUCUUGCAGAGGCCCGUCGCAGCUCUUGGAUCCGUUGAGGCAGAACGGCGAGCCGGCGAAGGACUUCUGCCAGGUGAGUCGGCACCUCGUUGGAUAGGGCCACCACAGCCAAGGCACGCUGUGACCCGGUGUAGAGUUGCUCCACCAGGGUAUACACGGCCUUCAGCUUGGUUACCACACUCUGGUUGAGGUUGGCGCUUCUGGGACCAGUUUAACAGAGUCAGAUAAGCCGCCGACAAGGAUGAAUUAUGAGAUAUAAAAAUUCUAAACUUGAUGAAAGCCGGUGAGACGACUUACCGAAGAUUGCGGCCACCAUCUGGGACACUUGGCGCUUUAGGCCGGAGAGCUCGGCGGUCUUCUCGGAGAGAGCCUUCUCCGCCUGUUCAGCCCGGUUCACCAAUGCGGCCUUCUCUUCGGCCCACGCCUUCCGCUCAGCGUCAAACUCCGUCUUCAGCUUCUCUUGCGCGGCGAUGCUGGACACAAAUUUGGCAUUUGCCUUCCGGGUCUCCAUCUCUUGCAUCUUCAGCCGGUUCUUGAGAUCAGCGAGGUCAGCCUCAAGCUUCUUGCCAGCAGCCUGCAUAAAUUUCCGGGUUAUGGCAUGAACAGUUACUAUACAAAUUUAAAGUCCCAAGCAUUUUCCAAGCAAAGACACUUGGCACUUGGGGGCUAAUGUAUAUUGAAUGUUUCUAUCUACAAAUUGCCGGUUCAAUUGGGUAAGCCGGAACCUAAGUCUACAACAUAUUCAAUCAUAAGUCGUCGACUUGGGGGCUAGCAUGGUAAAGGUAACUAUGCAGUAAGUAAGAGCACAGAAGAAUAAUACCUCAGAUUUCUGCUGGAUCUGGGUCACCAUGGCAAUCUCUGCGUCCCGGCUCUUGUGCACUUGGCUGACGAAGCCGGAGACGAUCUCUCCAAUGUUCAAAUUGGAGUAGUCAGUGAGGUCCAGGUUAACCCGGCGGGACUCUAGCAGCUCCCCUUUGGCGGAGCACUUGGCCAGCGCGGUAGGUCUCCCCGGCUCAACAAACUCCGUCCGGGUCAUCUACUGGUUGAGCUAAGCUGGAGGCCUCCGGGUUAACAAAAGCUUCUGCAGUUGCCUUGGUGGUUGGGGCAGCGGCCUCAGGUGCAGAGGCAGCUGGCGGCUCUUGAGCGGCUGCCUCUGGCUCAGGCAAGUCCGGCUCAUCGACCGGCUUGGACUUCUUCGCCCUCUUGGUGAGCUUGGCCUGGGCACUGAAAAGACAGAAAGGUUAAGCACAAUAGUGUAAGUAAAGACAAAGUACAACAUGAGGUGAUCAUCAUUACCCGGGCACGGUCUUGAAAGCCGGCAGGCUUGACUGCAUAGAGUCGCCAGAAGAGGGGGAAGUUUCCUGGUAAUUUGAGUCAGAGGAAUUAAGUGGUUGACGUAUAACACCCGCCAAAGGAUGAAAGGGAUACAAAGUUGAGAUCACCUCGGUCCGGCGCUCCCUCGACGCGUCUGGUAAGCCGGAAGAGAGGUCGGCGUCCUUGUUGGUCCGGGUGUGACACCGGCUUUCAUGAGUCUGUUGCUUCAAAAUAAAUUGAGGAUCUUGAUAAGCUAAAGGAUGAGAAAAGCUUACUUUCCGGGUUACCCUUCGGACUUUCAGCCUUGGCAAGGGCUCCGAGUCGGAGGAAAGUGACAUUACCUCUUCAACCACCGGGUUACUUGCUCCGGUGUCGUCCUAUUGAUGAACAAGUAUUGAUAAGGCGGACAGAAGUAAACAACAGAUACAACAAGGACUUACAGGCUCAGGGGUUACCUCUGACUUGGAGCUGUCGCUUAGUUGCAUCAGCUCUGAAGCAGUAGGCAUGCUUCCUUUCUUGCGAGGGGCGGCUUUCUACGCCUUUCUGGCCUUCUUGGCCGCCUCAUGGUCAUACUUGACCCGCCAGAACUUGUCAUCAGCCUGAAAAAUACAAUGAUGAAUUCUUAAAACGAUUCAGAUGAAAGUUAUAUACAGAAGAAGAUAAAAUGUUCAGAUCAGCGGCUUACCGCUGGGGCUGGGUUGGUCUUGCAAAAGGGGGCCAACCCGGUCCUCCCGCAGUCUGCCAGGCUCUCGUUCAAGAGAGCCUUGGUCAUAUCCUCUGCAACGUCUUCAGGAAGAUCGUUGCGGCUGUGUCUCUGAGGGUCAUCCUUUCGGCCCGUGUACUCGCACAUUAAGCCGGGGUGGCGGCUCAAUGGGAUCACCCGCCAGGAGAUCCAGACCCGGACCAGAUCAAUUCCGUUCAGACCAUUGCCCAGGAGAGCCUUGAUCUUGUUGAUGGUGGGAAGCAGAGGUUGGCGCUCCGCUUGAGUCAGCUUGUCUGACAGUGGGUGAGUCGGCUCCAGACGCGAGGGGCGAAAGCCGGGCAACGGACUCUCAUCAGCCGGCGACGUGUCUUGGCAGUAAAACCAUGUCAGAUUCCAGUCCUUGGGGUGGCUGGGCGGCUCUGCGUAAGGGAAAAGGCAGUCCCUACGCCGCUGGAUGGAGAUGCCGCCUAGCUCCAAACUCGGCCUGUUGGCACACUCGUUCUGGCGGUUUAAAUAGAAAAGCUCUCUGAAGAGCAGCAGACUGGGUUCUUCUCCAAGGUAAACCUCGCAGAACACUUGGAAGUUGCAGAUAUUGGACACUGAGUUGGGUCCUAUGUCCUGAGGCCGCAGAUCAAAGAAAUUCAGAACAUAUCUGAAAAACUUUGAGCCGGGCGGUGCGAAGCCCCGGCUCAUGUGAUCCGCAAAAAUGACCACCUCCCCGUCCCUUGGUUGUGGUCUCUCCUCUGAUGGGUCGGGGGCACGGUAAGACAUGACGUCCUUCUUGGGCAGAUAGCCAGACUUGACAAAAUCUGCUAACGUCUCGUUGGUGACAUUGGACCUCAUCCAGUUGCAAGUGAUGGAGGCUUUAGGAGCUUUGGGAGGCAUGGUGAUUGUUGGAAGCCUAUGAUACAGGGAAAAAUGUCCGGUUUAAUAAUGAGCCGGAGGAAACUUACAAGUUAAGGUUUAAGAUGGCGGCUUAUGGAGGGGACUAAUGAUAUAUGUCUAAAUGCAUCGGGUUAUCUGAAGCCGCUGGUGUGCUUGAGGGUAAUUCAAAAUUUUCUACGGCCUUAUCACAGAUGAGCCGGAAAUUCUAUGGUGCAUGGUCUCCUUUAAGUCGGAAGAUUCUACGGCGCGUGUUUUCUUUAAACCGGAAAUGUAACCCGCCAUGACUCAACGAGUGCAGUUUUUUACUAAGUGUGGUGAAAACAAGUUUCACACAUGGCAGUAAAUAAUUUGGAUCAAGUGGUCGACAGAAAAAGAAAAUUUCUAGACCUAAAAACAGACGCGAGGGAAGUUCUUGAGCUCGAAUGAGGCCUUUAUGCAGUAAAAAGAGGCCUACUUGCAUUUGAAAUGAGUGCUAAACAGCCGCCGCACUAGUUCUAUCCUAUACUAAGAUCAAAAAGAGGCAGUAAAAAUCAAAUCUACUGAGGGCCGCGAUGAACUAUGAAGAACAAAGGAAGAACUACGGAGCCCUAGUGCGGAUCUGCCCUAUGGAAUAGCGAAGACUCACCGGUGCUGAAGAGACGCGAAGGUCGUCACGUUUCUCUGGUCAGAUCAGGAUGAUGCAGCGGCCUGAGUUGGUGACGACACGAAGACCGACGGCGGCGGCGGCAGCAGAGCUCGGGCAGGGGAGCAGUAGCGCGAGGAAGAAGACGAAGGAGAAGAGAAGUGGCUGAAGGCCCGUCGGGCCGGCCUAUUUAUAAGGACGAGCUCAUAAGUGGGCGCGAGAAUCAAGGAGACCACGGCGUGGUUAUCUCCCCACGAAACGCCUCGAUUUUCGGGAUGACAGUAAAGAUAAGAUCCGUUGCGGAUCUGGCGGAGUAAAAAACGGACUUAAUGGAAGAUGAUGUCACGGCGGAUUACCCAGAGUCCAUAGGAUGACGUCACGCCGGGUUAUGGCCUUCACAUAAUUGUAAGCCGGAGAUUUUCUGUCGAAAAGAUUGAAGAUUGACAUGAGCCGGCUCAAAUCAAUCUGGGGCCUAAUGUUAAGGAUAUAGACCUUAGAGUCACCCGCCAGAAGGGGCCGGGUUACUCAUAUGGUCAUUCCCAGAAGCCCGGCGCUAAGCUUAAAGACGGUGGGCCAGAGAUGGGCUUAAGACCCGGAUACGGCUUAAGGCCCGUAGUUGCAAUUAUUAUCAUGGUAGAACUUGUAGUGUAAGGCAAGAAUAGUUGAGAGUCCGAGCCGGACACUCUUAUGAGCCGGCCGGGACUCUGAGAGCUGCUGGGCGUCAGCCUCCCUAUAUAAAGGGACGACCCGGCAGCGGUUUAGGGACAAGAAAGAUCUGAUCGAGAGCCAGGCAUAGCAGUUUAGCUCCCUAGUCAUCGAAACCCUAAUCAAUACCACCUCAACUGGACGUAGGCGUUUACCUUCACCGUAAGGGGCCGAACCAGUAUAAACCCUCGUAUUCCUUUUCCCGCUUAACCCCUUUAAGCUUCCUAGCUGCGAUGGCUCCACGACUAAGUCCUAGCUCGAGGACAUCUGCCGUGACAAUUCCACGACAAUACCGGUGUUAUGUUCCUUGAUAUUGCGUUCCUAACGCGGUUGGGUGAUUUAUGGGACCCCCUUGACAGUUCGCUUUGAAUAAAACUCUUCCAGCAAGGCCCAACCUUGGUUUUACAUUUGCCUCACCUAGCCUUUUUUUCCCUUGGGAGUCGCGCAUCCCGAGGGUCAUCUUUAUUUUAACCCCCCCGGGCCAGUGCUUCCCUAAGUGCUGGUCUGAACCGAGUAGACUGCGGGGCCCCCUCGUGGAAACUCGAGGUCUGGUUUUACUCGUAGGAUGUCUCAUCCGGUGUUGCCCUGAGAACGAGAUAUGUGCAGCUCCUAUCGGGAUUGUCGGCACAUCGGGCGGCUUUGCUGGUUUUGUUUUACCAUCGUCGAAAUGUCUUGUAACCGGGAUUCCGAGACUGAUCGGGUCUUCCCGGGAGAAGGAAUAUCCUUCGUUGACCGUGAGAGCUUAUAAUGGGCUAAGUUGGGACACCCCUGCAGGGUAUAAACUUUCGAGAGCCGUGCCCGCGGUUAUGUGGCAGAUGGGAAUUUGUUAAUAUCCGGUUGUAGAGAACUUGACACUUGACCGUAAUUAAAACGCAUCAACCGCGUAUGUAGCCAUGAUGGUCUCUUCUCGGUGGAGUCCAGGAAGUGAACACGGUUUCUGGGUUAUGUUUGACGUAAGUAGGAGUUCAGGAUCACUUCUUGAUCAUUACUAGUUGACGACCGUUCCGUUGCUUCUCUUCUCGCUCUCAUUUGCAUAUGUUAGCCACCAUAUAUGCUAGUGCUUGCUGCAGCUCCACCUCACUACCCCAUCCUUUCCUAUAAGCUUAAAUAGUCUUGAUCCCGCGGGUGUGAGAUUGCUGAGUCCUCGUGACUCACAGAUACUUCCAAAACAGUUGCGGGUGUCGAGGGUACCAGUGCAGGUGACGCAACUGAGCUCAAGUGGGAGCUCGAUGAAGAUCUUGUUCGUUACUACGCUUCUUUUCAUGUUGAUCAGUAGUGGAGCCCAGUUGGGACAAUCGGGGAUCUAGCAUUUGGGGUUGUCUUCUUUUCCUUUGGUUCCGUAGUCGGACCUAUGUGUGUACUCUGAUUGAUGUAUGAUUUAUUUAUGUAUUGUGUGAAGUGGCGAUUGUAAGCCAACUCUUUAUCCCUUUCUUGUUCAUUACAUGGGAUUGUGUGAAGAUGACCCUUCUUGCGACAAAACCACAAUGCGGUUAUGCCUCUAAGUCGUGCCUCGACACGUGGGAGAUAUAGCCGCAUCGUGGGCGUUACAAGUUGGUAAUCAGAGCCAUCCCCGACUUAGGAGCCCCCUGCUUGAUUGAAUCGCUGGCGUUGUUGAGUCUAGAACAAAAAUGUUUUGAGUCUUAGGAUUAUAUAUAUCGGAGAGUAGGAUUCUUUUUACUCCUCAGUCCCUUUGUCGCUCUGGUGAGGCCUCCUGACGUAGAAGUUUUGACUUUUCUCUCCUCGAAUUUCACUAAAAAAAUUUAGGAUCACGCGGGUAUCUUGGAAUCGUUCCGAUGGUUUUGUGACGAGAACAUUGUUCUUGGUGCCUCCUGACAUUUAGGGGUUGUGGCAGUGUCCCGGGGAGUUGAGCUCCGAGGUGUUGUCGUCACAAUUUUAUCGUUGCAGUUCUGGAAUACCUGAGUUUCGCCGACAUCGAAAUCUCUUUUAUGCAGUUGUUGGUGAGAUCACCUCGACGCCACCCAGUACUGGGGCGGGAGUUCGGGAGUAUCGCCAUAACUCGUAUAACGGAUGUUUUUUGAAGGUUGAGGUACACGAUUUCCGAAGGUUUCUUGGUUAUGUGUUGACGGAUGGAUACAGCUGGAUCUAGGGAUUGCUAGUUUGGGCAAUAUAUUUUGUGUCCCCUGUAUCCCCAACACCAGAUUGCAUAACCAGAAAGUUUCGGGAGUUUAUAAGUGGGAAUUCAAUUAGCUCUUAGGAUAUCUUUCCGACAGACGCAUGAUAUGAGAUUGGGGUUCGACGUCUGGUGGUCCGCCUUUCCACGGUUGGUUUUACAGUGGUCUCGUAGUGUCUUAAAGAGUCCUUGGCUAUGCCGACUCGGGGACGCUUCGUAUAUCAUGUGCACUGCCUUGUACAUGAUGGUGCUGUACGAUCGAGCCCGUGUGGGCCCCACCACGAAAACUUCGAACGAAAUCUCUAUCAUAUGUUUGUUCCGGCUUAUUUUGCAAGCCAAUCCUUUGUUUUGUUUUGUUUUGUGGUAUUCGAGUUGCUUCGAAGUCAAAUGUUGAAUCCAUACCUUUCCUAAACGGUGUUCUCAUAUUGCUAUGUGAAUACUAAUCCUUUCGAUCAUCGAGGUCGUCAUGUUAAUUCUUUUCCAACCGGCGUGCUUCUCUUCGAGUGGAUCCGAUCAUUCCAACAUUCGCAAGAUCAAUUCUAAGCUUUUUCUCAAUGGUGUUUGCUUCAUCCGUCCCUAGUUGUCUUUGUUUUUCCCGCCCUCCCACCCUUUUCUUCAAGGACUCAGAUUUCUCAAUCAUGUAUCCUUUUAUUCAUGUGAAGUCCCCUCAUUCUUUUCAAUCAAUGUUCUUACCCGGUGGUUCUCAUGAAGAUGUUCUUCAAGUUUAUCAUUCUUCAUUCUUUUUCUUCUCCGGUGGAUUCAAUUCAAGCUUUUGGUGUUGACCAUAUUCCCUUCCUUGUUUCAAGUGUUUUCGUUUGCCGGUGUAUCUUAAUCAUUCCCCGCUUGCUAUUCGAUUGUUCCGGAGUGCUGAAGAUAUCUCUGAAGAUUCGUGUUUCCACUCCACAUCAAUUCUAACUAUUUCGAGGUUGUUACCUCAUUCAAGCCAUUUAAUUCAACCGGUGCAAUCUCCUUUUCAAGUAAUCAUUUCAACGGUGUUUCUAUUGAGUGGGCCCUAACCCACAGGUCUUUUCCCAGGGUCUUACCUGACUCUUCUAAUUUAUCCGGAGCGAUUCUCAAAUUCUCUUCAAAGUUUGACGUAAGAAUGAAUUUUCAUCAGUCAAAUGUCUUUCUCCAAGAUCUUUCAAAUUCUUUUCAUUGUUGGUUCAAUCUUUCUAAUUUUCAUCCCGGAGUAUCUCAACAAUUAAUGGUGGUGUUUCUCGUCGUCAUUCUCGGAUCUUGAAGACCGAAGAAGAAUUCCUCGUAAAUCCUUAUCCGUUCUUCCAAAGAUUCAUGGUUCUAACUUGUUGCCAUCCUCUCAAAUUGUUUCCAAUCGCGCAAUUCUUUUCUUACCCAUCCGGAGCAUUUCAGAGUUGUUUUCAUUUCUUGAUCAUCCAAAGGCCAUCAUUUCAGAAGAUUUCUUCGUUCUAAGUUUUCAGCUUCGUUCUCCAAUUAUUCUAAAUUGAUGUUUCUUCGUUCAUCUCCAUAUUCUCCCGAUGCAUCCUUCAAGUAUCCUCUAGUCAGCUCGUGAUCUAUUCGUUCUCAUGUAUCUAAAUUCCCUCAAGUAUUUUCGCGCGCUCUUUAAUUCUACCGGUGUUUCGUCCUCUUUUCUUCAACUGUUUUCAAUUCUCGCGGUGGUUCGUUCAAGAUUUUCUCUUCCUUCGUUAUCAUAUCAAUUUAUUCGUUGUUUCAAUCCUACCGGUGUUUCGAUGAAGACCUUCACAAGUUUGUGUUAUAUCUCUCUUAAUCCUUUCUACGAGAAUAAGUAGUAUGACAAAUCCAUUGCUUGCCAUCAACUAAUUGGUGAAGGAUGAGCAUAAUGUAAUUCUUAUUCUUGUUUCAUCGAGUAAAUUCAAUUCCUUAUUCCAGAGGUUCAUCAAAGUUCUUGAUUUUAUUUGUUUAUCUUUCUUUCCGGAGUUCCAAGUUUUCUCGGUUAUAUCAUUUCAAAGCUUCAUCUUAUCACUGCAAGGUUUCACCUUGUGUUUUCAACUCCUCUUUCUUUUAUCAUCCUUUUAUUACCGGAGUUCUUCAUGGAGGAUCUACAUGGUGCUUCGUCAAGGAUUCUUUUCAUUCUUCAAUUGUUCUUCAAGAUUUCUCUCGGAGUUAAGAUCCGCCAAGCUAUACUCUAAAAUAAACAUGGUGUUCAACACAUGUUUUGUUUUGUGGAGUCCAAGCAUUCUUCAUCUUGCAUUCUAAAGUGCAAUUCGUCCUACCUUAUCAUUUGAGGUGGUGUUAUGUCAUUCUUUACAAUUUGAGUUCGCUUUUCAUGAUUCCCAUGUUGCCAAGAAUGAGAUAUUUUAAAUCCACAAAUCUCUUCAUUGGUUUUUUAUCUUGUGUCAUGUUUCACCUAAAGCUUUCCCUAAGGAAUGUUGCCAUUAUGGUGCUUAUCAAUGAUCCAAGUUUUCUCCUAUCCUCUUGGUGAAAGAAGUUUUUCAUCGCCUUGGUGCUCUCACUCAAAUCAAUGGCUUCCUUUAGUGGCCGUUUGUCACCUCAUAAUUUCGAGAAGUUUUCCAUAAAGUCCACUGCAAGCUUAUUCUUUUCUUUGUUGAUUUUUCAACAACUCCGUUCUUCUCCGUUCGUUUCAUUGCAUUGUUUCAUUUCUACCGGAGGCAUUGUGAUAUCGCUCUCUUCGACCCAUCUUCUCGUUUUGUCAAGAUCAUCUUCUUUCCUUGCUUAUCCAUUUAACCGGAGUGUGGUGUCAUCUCUUCAAUUUCUUUUCAUCUUAUCAAGUUUCCUUCUCUUUUUCAACCGGAGUGCUGUCAAAAUUAUGUCAUUCUUGUUCCUUGGCUAUCUCGUUAUAUCGGUGUGGUUUCAUAUUCUUUUGGUUCGUUAAGCCCUUGUUUCAUGUCUUUCAACCCACAAGGUUCUCAUAAUGUUCCUUGUUCUCCUUUUCUAACGGAGUGUUUGUAAUCUCGUUCAUCUCCGUUCUAUUCUUUUCUAAAAAUUGUUUAACCUCUCAAGGUUCUUUGGUUUCACUCGUUUGUCAAUAGCAACUUUGUUUUACCUUUUCCUCUUCCGUUUCCCUCCGGUGCCAUCCUAGAUCUCGGGACGAGAUCCUCUCGUAGUGGUGGACUGUUGUAACACCCCGGAUGUAACUUCCCAUAUUUGUAUCUCCAACUCUUGCCAUUUUCGGCUAUGUGUUAUGAUAUUCCCUUUGUGGUCGGGUUUUGUUUUUCGUUUUGUAUUUUUGUUCAUGUCAUGCAUCUCAUAUCAUGUCAUCAUGUGCAUUGCAUUUGCAUACGUGUUCGUCUCUUGCAUCCGAGCUUUUUCCCCGUUGUCCGUUUUGCAAUCCGGCACUCCCACCUCCUCCGGCGCACUCCUCUUGUUUCUUUUCGUGAGCGGAUGUUGAACGCUCUCGGAAUGGACCGAGGCUUGUCAAGUGGCCUUGGUAUACCACCGGUAGACCACCGGUCAAGUUUCGUUUCAUUUGGAGGUCGUUUGGUACUCCAACGGUUAACCGGGUAACCGCAAAGUCUUUUUGUGUGUUGCAGCAAACCCCCCUCCAAACAGCCCAAAACCCCUCUAAGUCAUCUCCAUGCUCUAGGUCGUUCGAUCACGAUCGUGUGGGCGAAAACCGCACUUCGUUUGGAGUCUCCUAGCUCCCUCUACCUAUAUAUACACCUCCCCCUCCGAAUACAUUCGCAGAUCAAACCCUAGAAACUCCUCCCGUCGCCGUCGAACGUGUCCGUACCGCCGACGGACGAACCCG
rnacentral:lncRNA from 1 species